AGCUUGCUGCUCUGCUGACGAGUGGCGGACGGGUGAGUAAUGUCUGGGAAACUGCCUGAUGGAGGGGAUAACUACUGGAAACGGUAGCUAAUACCGCAUAACGUCUACGGACCAAAGUGGGGGACCUUCGGGCCUCAUGCCAUCAGAUGUGCCCAGAUGGGAUUAGCUAGUAGGUGGGGUAACGGCUCACCUAGGCGACGAUCCCUAGCUGGUCUGAGAGGAUGACCAGCCACACUGGAACUGAGACACGGUCCAGACUCCUACGGGAGGCAGCAGUGGGGAAUAUUGCACAAUGGGCGCAAGCCUGAUGCAGCCAUGCCGCGUGUAUGAAGAAGGCCUUCGGGUUGUAAAGUACUUUCAGCGGGGAGGAAGGUGUUGUGGUUAA
rnacentral:rRNA from 1 species